AUUUUUCCAUCGUUUGCGUUAAUUUAAUUUGUUUCGAUUUUGCGAUUCGACGUUCCACGGGUAUCGUUACUUUGUCCGUCGUAAUUGAUUUUACCUUGAACUUGCAAAAGAAAGAGCAGAAAAACAAUUUUUUUUUUUUUUUCAAUUAGGUUAAGUGUGGAUGGACUCACGCAAUUGCGUUUCAUAUUUUCGUUCUUUUGUCGUCGUCAUAAUGAUGAAGUGUUGUUUAUACAUAAUUUAUAAGGCACGCAAAUUAAAUUUCUGGGAAAAGCGCGAAAAUUAAUUUCUCGUUCACCGCACGACUCGCAUAACCAAUUAUCCGCGAAAACUAUGUAUUUAUACGCUCGGUCACGAAUGAAAACGGAAAGUUCUCGGAAAAUGAAUCAUAUAAAUUGAGUGAGUGAGCGAAGUGUUUAUAGGGCGUGUAAGAGAGAGAGAGUGAGAGAGAGUAAAAGGUUCGGAGAUUGCGCGCACAAAGUUCAAUCAAUGUACGGUUUCGCUUUUAGUUUUGUUUUAUUUUGAAAGGGAAAAUAUGGAUUAUUGGAAAUUCGACUCUCACGCCGACAACAUUUCGUGGGAAGUAUAUCGCCCGAGUGUAGGUGGAAAUUGUGUUUUUGUGGAGGCGGCGGAGCGGUGAAAAAGUGCAUUCUGCCGUGUUCACAUUUGUGGAUGAUGCUGCUGCUGCGGGGGUGGCGGCGACGUGCGAUGCGCAAAACCACGAAAAUCCGCGAAUAAAAUCAAUACGAACGUGCAUUCGUGCAGGGGUGGGGGGCGAGAUUGACGGAUUUCGAGUGCAGCGCCAUCUUUACGCAAUCAAUCAACCAUAACCUAGGAAGUUCUCGAAUUGAUGCGACUAAACGAGAGGGAAUUACCAGGAGCGGAUUCAAAGAUGACUAAUUGACGCCCUUAUCGUUCGGAACAACAACAAAAAAACGGAAGUUCUCGAAUUGAUGCGACUAAACGAGAGGGAAUUACCAGGAGCGGAUUCAAACAUGACUAAUUGACGCCCUUAUCGUUCGGAACAACAAAAAAAAAACGGUGAGUCAUUUAGCGAUCAUCUAACUUUGAUAACUAAUUCUAAGAAGCUUUUGUUUCGUUGCUGAUGACCGCAUCAUCACAAUCAUGGGGGGCCGGUCCGUGUCACGUGAUCACGGCGAUCAGCUGUGCGAGAGCACGCGACACCUAACCUCAUCCCCCCCCACCAACCCUCACACUUACACAUUCACAACCUCCCCAGAUCCAAAUUGUUUUCCGUCGACAUGCGCCGUGCGAACGUUCGGUCGAAGCGGUUUCCCAUUUUAGAAUUUAUAGACCCGAGCGCGCACGCAUCGCCAGAGACCAGUUUCCGACGUACAGCCGUGCCGUUACAAUACACAUACAUACACUUGUGGACAAAUCCUGAAUAGUCUGUCCACUAAGAAAGGCAGAAAUAGAGAUCACAAUAAUACAUAAUUGUUAUUAUCCAAUCCGUUUUUUAUUUUUUAUUAUUUUCGGAUUGGCAACACUACAUAAUAAUAAUAUAUGAUUGCAGCAGCCUACUUUUUUCAUUCGCCCUCGUGUGCUUCGAAUUAGAACGCCCUCAUCCACUACUACUGUACAUGCGAUCGCUUUUUAUUGUUGACGCGAUCAUUUUUGCAGAGAGGAAGAAUUUUGGUGGUGUUUCGCAGUGGCGCGCGUCGUACGCACGAGACUUUCUCCCAUUGUGUUCGGUAUCCAUCCUUCUGGAGGACCGACCCCCACAAGUGAAAUCAAUUGCGCUAUGUGACACAUUCGCCAAGUGAAUAAGUUGUGUGUGCGUGGGUGAGAGAGUGUGUUUUUUGUUUUGUUUUGUUUCAUUGCUUCCUUGGAUUUAGAUUCUGUUUAAUCAACAGCCGCAGCAGCAGUAACAACAACACCAUCUCCUGGAUAGUUCGGAAUUAGAUCACCAGUUGCCAAAGACAAGUGUGCCGUGCCGUGUGUGAAUGGUGUUUGUUUUUUUAAAUGUUUAUAUGAAUAUUGUAUCCGUGUGGUGUUGGUUUUCAAAGUGCGUGGAUAACUGCUGCAGUGUUCCUCCUCUUCUGCUGCUGCCCUGGCCGGAAUCGAUAGUGGCCAACCUUUUUCUCUGAGACAGCGUUGCCGAGGUUGCCAACCUUCUCUUGCCAUUGACUGCGAACGCUCGCACAACGCAACCUGACACACACAGAGAUAGCAACGUCGCACAGCUGACGGUGACGGAGAGGAAGAACGCGCGCGGGCCAUUGCACGCACUCUCUUUUUAUAUAAAUUCUUCAGAAAUCAGGAAGCGCCAGAAAUUUUUACCCUAAGCACACGUAAG